rnacentral:rRNA from 2 species
CUUUACCCAUGCAAGUCCGAGCGCCCCGCAAGGGGAGCGGCAGACGGGUGAGUAACGCGUGGGAACGUACNUUUUGCUACGGAAUAACUCAGGGAAACUUGUGCUAAUACCGUAUGUGCCCUUCGGGGGAAAGAUUUAUCGGCAAAGGAUCGGCCCGCGUUGGAUUAGCUAGUUGGUGAGGUAAAGGCUCACCAAGGCGACGAUCCAUAGCUGGUCUGAGAGGAUGAUCAGCCACACUGGGACUGAGACACGGCCCAGACUCCUACGGGAGGCAGCAGUGGGGAAUAUUGGACAAUGGGCGCAAGCCUGAUCCAGCCAUGCCGCGUGAGUGAUGAAGGCCCUAGGGUUGUA